UCUAUUCAGAGGAACCUGCUUCUAUAAUUGAUAAUCCACGAUUUAAUUUACUUGCUUUAUUAAUUUAUAUAUCGUCGUAGUUUGAAUAUUUUAGUAGAAUUUUAAUAUUCAAGAUUUUUAAUAAAAAAAAAAAUCAGAUCAAGGUGUAGUUUAUAAGUAAGAAAAAAUGGGUUACUAUAAUAAAAAUUUAGGAUAAUUAUUUUUGAAUAUAAUUUGAAUAAGGAUUUGAAGG
rnacentral:rRNA from 1 species